UUUGCAUGCACACACACACACACACACACACACACACACACACAGAGCAUGUUACCAACAGCUUUUUAUUUAACUUUCUCCCUGCCCAGAGCUUCUCUUCACUGACUGUCUGGGACAAGCCAGCGCCGUGGAGCUGUCUCUUUUUCAUUUCUCAGCCUCACUGGCCAUUCCAGGUAUCUGCUGAUGGGGCUCUUGGCCCUUAUAGCCAAGCUGCCCAAGACUUGACUUGCUCUUUUUACCAAAAAAAAAAAAAAAAACUAUUUCCACUAAACCACUGAGCAUUUCAUAUGUCGUAAUUUUAAAGCCACUUCUUUACUCAUUUCUUCCGUUUAUUUGCCUAGUCCUCAAGAAAUAUUUGCUUGAUGUGACUUCUUGGAACCAAAUGUUGGUACCCAACUGAAAGGGAUGGAGCCCUCCGAACUUGGAAGUUCCGCUGAGGAUGAGGGCGGCCGCCAUUUUGAAACGAACAGACUCCAAAAGCACGCUCCACUGGGCCUGCCCCUGCGAUCUUAAAACAGAUGUCCGUGAAAUGUGACCCAUGAAUAGCAGUUAUCUGGAGAGAGAGCUCUGAAGCUGAUGAAACCAUUAGAGCCACUGAAGGCACCUGGUAAAUGCGAUGCGGGGAGUACAGAAGAGAGAAUCAGAAACACACCGGCACUCUCAUUCCCAUGAGGCCACUUACAGUGGGUAAAACGUCGCUUGAGAAGAGCGGCAGCUCCAGCCUGAAUGAGAAGCACGUCCUCCUGGGAGUUACGUCAGCAGCCUGACCUUCCAUCUUCCUCCUCUAAAGAAGCGUCCCUGCCACCCUGAGCACGAAGCCCUCGGGUUCCUAAAGGCCGAGGCGCUUCUUCUCAUUUACUUCCCUUGAGGAAGAAAGACCAGCCCAUCCACCCUCAUUUCCCACCGAAGGGCAUCGCAAAUAAAGUUUGCCCACGCAACCAGGCCACCACCAUUAAUUUCUCUCUGCCCUGCUCUUACAUUCUCCUCAAGGUUUUCAGUCCCCUAGAGAGGCUCCCUUCCCUCUUUUCUUUCCUUCCUCCAGCCCCCCUUUUCACCUCCCUCCACCAUUGUUUGAGGUUAAGAAGCAUGCUACGGUGUUCUAUAAAUCACUUGGCAAGAGUAGACGACAAAAGCAAAAUAUAAUUCAGAUUAAAGUCAUCCUCCCGCUGAAAUGAUAGUUUCUUAAAUAAAUGGCGAUGCUGCCUAUCAAUCUUGCUGGCAACUGGUCCUCUCAUAUUCAUCUUUCUGGGGGUGAUUUAGGAUCCACCUGGGUCCUCCGAGAAGAUUCUCCCAUCAUUUCCUUCCCGUCUCUCUGGAUCUUGCUGCUGGGCUUGGCGCAGUUGACAAAUUCUCCAAGUAAUCCCUCAAAAGAUUGGAGAAAUGCUCCGAACGCUCCAUUAAACUUAUUUUCCAUGCUUUAAGAGACCCAAAACUAUGUCCAAUAAAUAAGUGUUCCCUGUGA
rnacentral:lncRNA from 1 species